GAGGGGUUUGAUCCUGGCUCAGAUUGAACGCUGGCGGCAGGCCUAACACAUGCAAGUCGAGCGGAUGAAGGGAGCUUGCUCCUGGAUUCAGCGGCGGACGGGUGAGUAAUGCCUAGGAAUCUGCCUGGUAGUGGGGGAUAACGUCCGGAAACGGGCGCUAAUACCGCAUACGUCCUGAGGGAGAAAGUGGGGGAUCUUCGGACCUCACGCUAUCAGAUGAGCCUAGGUCGGAUUAGCUAGUUGGUGGGGUAAAGGCCUACCAAGGCGACGAUCCGUAACUGGUCUGAGAGGAUGAUCAGUCACACUGGAACUGAGACACGGUCCAGACUCCUACGGGAGGCAGCAGUGGGGAAUAUUGGACAAUGGGCGAAAGCCUGAUCCAGCCAUGCCGCGUGUGUGAAGAAGGUCUUCGGAUUGUAAAGCACUUUAAGUUGAGAGGAAGGGCAGUAAGUUAAUACCUUGCUGUUUUGACGUUACCAACAGAAUAAGCACCGGCUAACUUCGUGCCAGCAGCCGCGGUAAUACGAAGGGUGCAAGCGUUAAUCGGAAUUACUGGGCGUAAAGCGCGCGUAGGUGGUUCAGCAAGUUGGAUGUGAAAUCCCCGGGCUCAACCUGGGAACUGCAUCCAAAACUACUGAGCUAGAGUACGGUAGAGGGUGGUGGAAUUUCCUGUGUAGCGGUGAAAUGCGUAGAUAUAGGAAGGAACACCAGUGGCGAAGGCGACCACCCGGACUGAUACUGACACUGAGGUGCGAAAGCGUGGGGAGCAAACAGGAUUAGAUACCCUGGUAGUCCACGCCGUAAACGAUGUCGACUAGCCGUUGGGAUCCUUGAGAUCUUAGUGGCGCAGCUAACGCGAUAAGUCGACCGCCUGGGGAGUACGGCCGCAAGGUAAAACUCAAAGGAAUUGACGGC
rnacentral:rRNA from 1 species